rnacentral:rRNA from 1 species
UACGGGGGGGGCAAGCGUUGUUCGGAAUUACUGGGCGUAAAGCGCACGUAGGCGGCGACGUAAGUCGGGUGUGAAAUCCCUCGGCCCAACUGAGGAACUGCGCCCGAGACUGCUUCUCUUGAGUCCCGGAGAGGAAGGUGGAAUUCCCGGUGUAGCGGUGAAAUGUGUAGAGAUCGGGAGGAACACCGGUGGCGAAGGCGGCCUUCUGGACGGUGACUGACGCUGAGGCGCGAAAGCGUGGGGAGCAAACGGG